rnacentral:rRNA from 1 species
UGCGCAGGCGGGCUUGUAAGUCAGUGGUGAAAUACUGCCGCUUAACGGUAGAACUGCCAUUGAUACUGCGAGUCUUGAAUAUGGUUGAGGUAGGCGGAAUGUGUUGUGUAGCGGUGAAAUGCAUAGAUAUGACACAGAACGCCGAUUGCGAAGGCAGCUUACUAAGCCAUUAUUGACGCUGAGGCACGGAAGCGUGGGGAGCGAACAGGAUUAGAUACCCUGGUAGUCC